UACGUAGGGAGCAAGCGUUGUCCGGAAUCAUUGGGCGUAAAGCGCGCGUAGGCGGCUCGAUCAGUCUGUUGUGAAAGUCAAAGGCUCAACCUUUGAAUGCCGAUGGAUACUGUCGAGCUAGAGUCCGGAAGAGGCGGGUGGAAUUCCUGGUGUAGCGGUGGAAUGCGCAGAUAUCAGGAGGAACACCAACGGCGAAGGCAGCCCGCUGGGACGGUACUGACGCUAAGGUGCGAAAGCGUGGGGAGCGAACAGG
rnacentral:rRNA from 1 species